GCGGCGCUUCAUAGUAACAAAAUAUUUCAACGAACAUCGGUGUUCGCACUCCUGACCAUCUUGUAAACUAGAGU